GACGAACGCUGGCGGCGUGCUUAACACAUGCAAGUCGAACGGACAGGCCCUGCGUUUGUGGGGUUCUCGAGUGGCGAACGGGUGAGUAACACGUGUGUAAACCGCCCCUGUCUGUCGGAGAACUCCACGGAACUGGGGCUCAUAUCGCAUAGGAGCUCCUGAUGCACGGUGGGCGAUGGAAAGUUUCGGCGGUUGGGGCUGGACUCGCGGCUUAUCCGCUGGUUGGUGGGGUAGUGGCUUACCAGGGCUUCGACGGGUAGGCGGCCUGAGAGGUUGGCCGGCGACAAGAGGCCUGCGAGAGGGAGCAGACGCGUACGGGAGGCAGCAGUGGGGAGUAUGACGCAACGGGGGGGAGUGUGAUGCAGCAAUGUCGCGUUCGUGAUGACGGCUUACGAGGUGUGAACCGCUUUCGCAGUUGAUAAAGAGGGAGUGACGGUAACGGGUAAAGAAGCACCGGCUAACUACGUG
rnacentral:rRNA from 1 species